GGUGCUUGCAUCAUGAUUUACAUUUGAGUGAGUGGCGAACUGGUGAGUAACACGUGGGAAACCUGCCCAGAAGCGGGGGAUAACACCUGGAAACAGAUGCUAAUACCGCAUAACAACUUGGACCGCAUGGUCCGAGUUUGAAAGAUGGCUUCGGCUAUCACUUUUGGAUGGUCCCGCGGCGUAUUAGCUAGAUGGUGAGGUAACGGCUCACCAUGGCAAUGAUACGUAGCCGACCUGAGAGGGUAAUCGGCCACAUUGGGACUGAGACACGGCCCAAACUCCUACGGGAGGCAGCAGUAGGGAAUCUUCCACAAUGGACGAAAGUCUGAUGGAGCAACGCCGCGUGAGUGAAGAAGGGUUUCGGCUCGUAAAACUCUGUUGUUAAAGAAGAACAUAUCUGAGAGUAACUGUUCAGGUAUUGACGGUAUUUAACCAGAAAGCCACGGCUAACUACGUGCCAGCAGCCGCGGUAAUACGUAGGUGGCAAGCGUUGUCCGGAUUUAUUGGGCGUAAAGCGAGCGCAGGCGGUUUUUUAAGUCUGAUGUGAAAGCCUUCGGCUCAACCGAAGAAGUGCAUCGGAAACUGGGAAACUUGAGUGCAGAAGAGGACAGUGGAACUCCAUGUGUAGCGGUGAAAUGCGUAGAUAUAUGGAAGAACACCAGUGGCGAAGGCGGCUGUCUGGUCUGUAACUGACGCUGAGGCUCGAAAGUAUGGGUAGCAAACAGGAUUAGAUACCCUGGUAGUCCAUACCGUAAACGAUGAAUGCUAAGUGUUGGAGGGUUUCCGCCCUUCAGUGCUGCAGCUAACGCAUUAAGCAUUCCGCCUGGGGAGUACGGCCGCAAGGCUGAAACUCAAAGGAAUUGACGGGGGCCCGCACAAGCGGUGGAGCAUGUGGUUUA
rnacentral:rRNA from 1 species